rnacentral:rRNA from 1 species
GAAGGUUGGCUAAUCCUGGUCGGACAUCAGGAGGUUAGUGCAAUGGCAUAAGCCAGCUUGACUGCGAGCGUGACGGCGCGAGCAGGUGCGAAAGCAGGUCAUAGUGAUCCGGUGGUUCUGAAUGGAAGGGCCAUCGCUCAACGGAUAAAAGGUACUCCGGGGAUAACAGGCUGAUACCGCCCAAGAGUUCAUAUCGACGGCGGUGUUUGGCACCUCGAUGUCGGCUCAUCACAUCCUGGGGCUGAAGUAGGUCCCAAGGGUAUGGCUGUUCGCCAUUUAAAGUGGUACGCGAGCUGGGUUUAGAACGUCGUGAGACAGUUCGGUCCCUAUCUGCCGUGGGCGCUGGAGAACUGAGGGGGGCUGCUCCUAGUACGAGAGGACCGGAGUGGACGCAUCACUGGUGUUCGGGUUGUCAUGCCAAUGGCACUGCCCGGUAGCUAAAUGCGGAAGAGAUAAGUGCUGAAAGCAUCUAAGCACGAAACUUGCCCCGAGAUGAGUUCUCCCUGAGACUUAGAGUCUCCUGAAGGAACGUUGAAGACGACGACGUUGAUAGGCCGGGUGUGUAAGCGCAGCGAUGCGUUGAGCUAACCGGUACUAAUGAACCGUGAGGCUUAACCUU